UACAUGCAAGUCGAACGCGUUGGCCCAAUUGAUUGAUGGUGCUUGCACCUGAUUGAUUUUGGUCGCCAACGAGUGGCGGACGGGUGAGUAACACGUAGGUAACCUGCCCAGAAGCGGGGGACAACAUUUGGAAACAGAUGCUAAUACCGCAUAACAGCGUUGUUCGCAUGAACAACGCUUAAAAGAUGGCUUCUCGCUAUCACUUCUGGAUGGACCUGCGGUGCAUUAGCUUGUUGGUGGGGUAACGGCCUACCAAGGCGAUGAUGCAUAGCCGAGUUGAGAGACUGAUCGGCCACAAUGGGACUGAGACACGGCCCAUACUCCUACGGGAGGCAGCAGUAGGGAAUCUUCCACAAUGGGCGCAAGCCUGAUGGAGCAACACCGCGUGAGUGAAGAAGGGUUUCGGCUCGUAAAGCUCUGUUGUUAAAGAAGAACACGUAUGAGAGUAACUGUUCAUACGUUGACGGUAUUUAACCAGAAAGUCACGGCUAACUACGUGCCAGCAGCCGCGGUAAUACGUAGGUGGCAAGCGUUAUCCGGAUUUAUUGGGCGUAAAGAGAGUGCAGGCGGUUUUCUAAGUCUGAUGUGAAAGCCUUCGGCUUAACCGGAGAAGUGCAUCGGAAACUGGAUAACUUGAGUGCAGAAGAGGGUAGUGGAACUCCAUGUGUAGCGGUGGAAUGCGUAGAUAUAUGGAAGAACACCAGUGGCGAAGGCGGCUACCUGGUCUGCAACUGACGCUGAGACUCGAAAGCAUGGGUAGCGAACAGGAUUAGAUACCCUGGUAGUCCAUGCCGUAAACGAUGAGUGCUAGGUGUUGGAGGGUUUCCGCCCUUCAGUGCCGGAGCUAACGCAUUAAGCACUCCGCCUGGGGAGUACGACCGCAAGGUUGAAACUCAAAGGAAUUGACGGGGGCCCGCACAAGCGGUGGAGCAUGUGGUUUAAUUCGAAGCUACGCGAAGAACCUUACCAGGUCUUGACAUCUUGCGCCAACCCUAGAGAUAGGGCGUUUCCUUCGGGAACGCAAUGACAGGUGGUGCAUGGUCGUCGUCAGCUCGUGUCGUGAGAUGUUGGGUUAAGUCCCGCAACGAGCGCAACCCUUGUUACUAGUUGCCAGCAUUAAGUUGGGCACUCUAGUGAGACUGCCGGUGACAAACCGGAGGAAGGUGGGGACGACGUCAGAUCAUCAUGCCCCUUAUGACCUGGGCUACACACGUGCUACAAUGGACGGUACAACGAGUCGCGAACUCGCGAGGGCAAGCAAAUCUCUUAAAACCGUUCUCAGUUCGGACUGCAGGCUGCAACUCGCCUGCACGAAGUCGGAAUCGCUAGUAAUCGCGGAUCAGCAUGCCGCGGUGAAUACGUUCCCGGGCCUUGUACACACCGCCCGUCACACCAUGAGAGUUUGUAACACCCAAAGUCGGUGGGGUAACCUUUUAGGAGCCAGCCGCCUAAGGUGGACA
rnacentral:rRNA from 2 species